UCGAGAAUAUUUCGCAAUGGGCGAAAGCCUGACGAAGCGACGCCGUGUGAAUGAAGAAGGCCUUCGGGUUGUAAAGUUCUGUCGCCUAAGAACAAGGGAUGCAUGAUAAAACCAGGCAUCUUUGAGUGUAUUAGGAAAGGAAGCACCGGCUAACUCCGUGCCAGCAGCUGCGGUAAUACGGAGGGUGCAAGCGUUAGUCGGAAUUACUGGGCGUAAAGGGUGCGUAGGCGGUUAUGUAAGUCAGAUGUGAAAUUCCGAGGCUCAACCUCGGAGCUGCAUCUGAAACUGUGUAACUAGCGGGAUGGCGGAGAAAACGGAAUUCCAUGUGUAGCGGUGAAAUGCGUAGAUAUAUGGAAGAACACCUGUGGCGAAAGCGGUUUUCUAGCCUACCCCGGACGCUGAGGCACGAAAGCAAGGGGAUCAAACAGGAUUAGAUACCCCUGUAGUCC
rnacentral:rRNA from 1 species